rnacentral:rRNA from 1 species
ACUAAGUGUCGUUGGGUAGGGGAGCGUUCUGUAAGCCUGCGAAGGUGGCCUGUGAGGGUUGCUGGAGGUAUCAGAAGUGCGAAUGCUGACAUAAGUAACGAUAAUGCGGGUGAAAAACCCGCACGCCGGAAGACCAAGGGUUCCUGUCCAACGUUAAUCGGGGCAGGGUGAGUCGACCCCUAAGGCGAGGCCGAAAGGCGUAGUCGAUGGGAAACGGGUUAAUAUUCCCGUACCUGGUGUUACUGCGAAGGGGGGACGGAGAAGGCUAUGUUGGCCGGGCGACGGUUGUCCCGGUUUAAGCGUGCAGGCUGGUUUUCCAGGCAAAUCCGGAAAAUCAAGGCUGAGGCGUGAUGACGAGGCACUACGGUGCUGAAGCAACAAAUGCCCUGCUUCCAGGAAAAGCCUCUAAGCCUCAGGUAACAUCAGAUCGUACCCGAAACCGACACAGGUGGUCAGGUAGAGAAUACCAAGGCGCUUGAGAGAACCCGGGUGAAGGAACUAGGCAAAAUGGUGCCGUAACUUCGGGAGAAGGCACGCUGACAUGUAGGUGAAGCGGUUUACCCGUGGAGCUGAAGUCAGUCGAAGAUACCAGCUGGCUGCAACUGUUUAUUAAAAACACAGCACUGUGCAAACACGAAAGUGGACGUAUACGGUGUGACGCCUGCCCGGUGCCGGAAGGUUAAUUGAUGGGGUCAGCGCAAGCGAAGCUCCUGAUCGAAGCCCCGGUAAACGGCGGCCGUAACUAUAACGGUCCUAAGGUAGCGAAAUUCCUUGUCGGGUAAGUUCCGACCUGCACGAAUGGCGUAAUGAUGGCCAGGCUGUCUCCACCCGGGACUCAGUGAAAUUGAACUCGCUGUGAAGAUGCAGUGUACCCGCGGCAAGACGGAAAGACCCCGUGAACCUUUACUAUAGCUUGACACUGAACACUGGUCCUUGAUGUGCAGGAUAGGUGGGAGGCUUUGAAGUGUGGACGCCAGUCUGCAUGGAGCCGUCCUUGAAAUACCACCCUUUAAUGGCUGGUGUUCUAACGUAGACCCGUGAACCGGGUUGCGGACAGUGUCUGGUGGGUAGUUUGACUGGGGCGGUCUCCUCCUAAAGCGUAACGGAGGAGCACGAAGGUUGGCUAAUCCUGGUCGGACAUCAGGAGGUUAGUGCAAUGGCAUAAGCCAGCUUGACUGCGAGCGUGACGGCGCGAGCAGGUGCGAAAGCAGGUCAUAGUGAUCCGGUGGUUCUGAAUGGAAGGGCCAUCGCUCAACGGAUAAAAGGUACUCCGGGGAUAACAGGCUGAUACCGCCCAAGAGUUCAUAUCGACGGCGGUGUUUGGCACCUCGAUGUCGGCUCAUCACAUCCUGGGGCUGAAGUAGGUCCCAAGGGUAUGGCUGUUCGCCAUUUAAAGUGGUACGCGAGCUGGGUUUAGAACGUCGUGAGACAGUUCGGUCCCUAUCUGCCGUGGGCGCUGGAGAACUGAGGGGGGCUGCUCCUAGUACGAGAGGACCGGAGUGGACGCAUCACUGGUGUUCGGGUUGUCAUGCCAAUGGCACUGCCCGGUAGCUAAAUGCGGAAGAGAUAAGUGCUGAAAGCAUCUAAGCACGAAACUUGCCCCGAGAUGAGUUCUCCCUGAGACUUUAGUCUCCUGAAGGAACGUUGAAGACGACGACGUUGAUAGGCCGGGUGUGUAAGCGCAGCGAUGCGUUGAGCUAACCGGUACUAAUGAACCGUGAGGCUUAACCUUACA